rnacentral:rRNA from 1 species
ACUCCUACGGGAGGCAGCAGUGGGGAAUAUUGCACAAUGGGCGGAAGCCUGAUGCAGCAACGCCGCGUGCGGGAUGACGGCCUUCGGGUUGUAAACCGCUUUCGCCUGUGACGAGCGUGAGUGACGGUAAUGGGUUAAAGAAGCACCGGCUAACUACGUGCCAGCAGCCGCGGUGAUACGUAGGGUGCGAGCGUUGUCCGG